rnacentral:rRNA from 2 species
CCAAUAGCGUAUAUUAAGGUUGCUGCGGUUAAAAAGCUCGUAGUUGAAUUUCGGGAUUGAUGCAUCGGUCGUGCCUUAAGGGGUAUGAACUGGUGUAGCCAAUUUCUUACCUUCUGGUGAAUUGUGAUGUCCUCCUUAAUUGGGUGUUUCAAUGAACUAGGACUUUUUACUUUGAAAAAAUUAGAGUGUUUAAAGCAGGC